UGUUUUUAUUGCCUUCAUUCGCUCGUCGCUUUUGGCACUGCUGACAUAAAUUUCGUUGUUCACUUCGUUCUUUUUCUUUUUGUUGGGGGUAGUGACUCAUGUCUAAAAAAGAAAAAAAUUUUAACAAAAUUAAGAAGCGAAAAAAGCUGAAGAUAUUGUUCGGCGCUUAUUGUAUCUGUAUCUGUUAGAUACACAUGACACAUGCCGUCCAAGCACGUUUCUAGCGUAUUUGUAUCUUGAUGCAUGCCGAGCAAUUUGCACAGUUGAAGUGUGCCUAGACUGUGGAAAGACGACGUCAACGACGGUGCGCACGGUGUGCUCGGAUUACGGCGACGCAGUCCAAGCAUAACUGCACGUACUAUCUGCGAAAUAUGUAUAAAAUGAUUGGAAAUGGUUUCUAGCCUGUUGAGAAGUCGCCUUGGAAUGCUCUGCUCUCUAUUUGAGUGUUUUAGGGCGUUGUUUGCAAUUUAGAUGGAAGAGCAUCCGUAUUAGCUUGGCUUGGAAUGCAAAUAAAGCAAUGCUAAAAUGCAUUAUCAAUCGAACGCUUCAUCGAACGCUUCGCAAACAAAUUAAAUUUUAAAUUAAAAAACAAAAAAAAAAACACAAAA